rnacentral:lncRNA from 1 species
GUUUUUGCUUCCCUUUUUGCAGGAUACAAAAAAGCAAUUUAUGUUAUUUGAGCUCAAUAAAAAAUUUAAAAAUAAAAAUAAGUAUGCAUUAGAAAAUACUACAAAAGCCAAGUGCCUACCAAGCAGAUAGUAUAAGAUUCAGCACUCAAAUCUACCCCAAUUGAGUCAACUUUUGUGACGAGAUUUGUGACUGAGCACCC